AUUGAACGCUGGCGGCAUGCUUUACACAUGCAAGUCGAACGGCAGCACGGGAGCUUGCUCCUGGUGGCGAGUGGCGAACGGGUGAGUAAUGCAUCGGAACGUACCUAUUAGUGGGGGAUAACUAUCCGAAAGGAUGGCUAAUACCGCAUACGUCCUGAGGGAGAAAGCGGGGGAUCGUAAGACCUCGCGCUAAUAGAGCGGCCGAUGUUGGAUUAGCUAGUUGGUGGGGUAAAGGCCUACCAAGGCGACGAUCCAUAGCUGGUCUGAGAGGAUGAUCAGCCACACUGGGACUGAGACACGGCCCAGACUCCUACGGGAGGCAGCAGUGGGGAAUUUUGGACAAUGGGGGCAACCCUGAUCCAGCCAUUCCGCGUGAGUGAAGAAGGCCUUCGGGUUGUAAAGCUCUUUCGGCAGGAACGAAACGGUAGUUACUAAUACUAGCUGCUAAUGACGGUACCUGAAGAAGAAGCACCGGCUAACUACGUGCCAGCCGCCGCGGUAAAAC
rnacentral:rRNA from 1 species